CACGCCGUAAACGAUGGAUACUAGCUGUUGGGGGCAACUUCAGUGGCUAAGCGAAAGUGAUAAGUAUCCCACCUGGGGAGUACGAACGCAAGUUUGAAACUCAAAGGAAUUGACGGGGGCCCGCACAAGCGGUGGAGCAUGUGGUUUAAUUCGAUGAUACGCGAGGAACCUUACCAAGGCUUAAAUGUAGAUUGACAGGACAGGAAACUGUUUUUUCUUCGGACAAUUUACAAGGUGC
rnacentral:rRNA from 1 species